UACGUAGGGUGCGAGUGUUAAUCGGAAUUACUGGGCGUAAAGCGUGCGCAGGCGGUUUUGUAAGCCAGAUGUGAAAUCCCCGGGCUUAACCUGGGAAUGGCAUUUGGGACUGCAAGGCUGGAGUGUGGCAGAGGAGACUGGAAUUCCUGGUGUAGCAGUGAAAUGCGUAGAUAUCAGGAGGAAUACCGAUGGCGAAGGCAGGUCUCUGGGCUGACACUGACGCUCAUGCACGAAAGCGUGGGGAGCAAACAGG
rnacentral:rRNA from 1 species